UGCCUAGAACAGUGUCCUGUAUAUGGGAGACAUUCAGGACACAUUUACUGAAUGAAUAAAUGAAUGAAUGGCUCUCAAGUCAAGCUGGCUGGCUUCACAGUCUGCCCCUGCCAUCUACUAGCAAUGUGAUGCUUCCCAGGCCUUGCCUCCAGCACAACGGAUGCAUUUCAGGGGCAGCAGCUGCACUUGUCUGAGCCCCCUUUGCAGAUGCAGCCCCGGGCACACUUGGCACAGCCCGGGGGGCAGCAAGGACAGCAACCUGAAAAGGUCACAGGACAGACAGAUGCAAAUUCCUCCUAGAAGAGAAGACAGAGCCACAAGCGUAAGGACUGAGAUCGAACAAGGACACAAGGUGUGCUGCAGAUCGUCCCGGUGGCGAGGUUAGUGGUCUGUCCUUGGGGAGGGGCUGGGCAAGAGGAUAGAAGAUGCUGUUGAGCAUCACACAAGUGGCCAGGGCCCCUUAGUGGUUCCCAGUCACAGACCAUGGAUGGAAACUGGGGUGGCUGUGUCCAGCCCUUCAGCCGGGGCACUUGCUAAAUUGCAGAUUCGUGGGUCCGACACUUGAGAUAUUCUGAUUCAUGAGUCUGGGUGGAGAAAAGGGAAUCGUAUUUUUUUUAAUGUUUAUUUAUUUUUGAGAGGGGGAGGGGCAGAGAGAGAGGGGGACAGAGGAUCCGAGGCGGGCCCUGGGCUGUCAGCAGAGAACCUGGAUGCGGGGCUUGAGCUCACGAACCGUGAGAUCGUGACCUGACCCAAAGUUGGGCACUUAGCUGAUUGAGCCACACAGGGGCCCCGGGAAUCAUAUUUUAAAAAGCAACCCAGUCUGAUGUACAGUCAGGGUUGAGAACCACUAGACUAGGCCAAGUCCACCAAGCCCCAGGUCCCCCAGGGGCUGUCGGAGCCUUGUAUACCCUCCUCACCUUUGCAAGGCAUCAGGCAAGAUGGCAACCCUGAAUGGCCAGGAGAAAGAACCAGGGACAUAAAUAACCUCAAAAGAGAGCUGCAGCCAUAGCUUGUUUUCAUACAAAAACCAUUUACACUUAAAAAAAAAAUCAUCCCCCCUAUCAUUUGAGUGUCAAAGUGCUGGAAGCUUCUGUCUCUUUGGCAAGUUUUGGGUAUAGACAUAGUCCUGUAUAGGACCAGAGAGGCUUGUGAGGAUUCUUGGUAAAAGACCAGGAUGUCUCCAAACUCUGACCUCUCUCCUCCUGUGCUACGUGCUUACGUGAAAUUAAGGAGUUUCAGAGACUCGGGAGCCCACGUAUGCUUCUAAUAACUCCCCUGACGUCUGCAAAUGCCUUAUGAUUUUAACACUUUCAUCGCAACUGUGGGAGGUGGGCAGCUGGGGAUGAGUGACCCUGGUUUUUGGAUGAGGAAACUGAGUGUUGGAAAUACUAAAUGUCAGGAG